AACGAACGCUGGCGGCAGGCCUAACACAUGCAAGUCGAACGAUACCAUCGGGCCGCGUGGCGCACGGCUGCGUAACGCGUGGGAACCUGCCCUUAUGUUCGGAAUAACUCCCCGGAAGGGGUGCUAUUAUCGGAUAAUUACUUCGGACCAAAGAUCUAUCGCGGUUGGAUGGGGCCGCGUUGGGUUAGCUGGUUCGUAGGGUAAAAGCCUACCAAGGCGACGAUCCAGAGCUGGGAAGUGAGAAUGAGCAGCCACACUGGAGCUGAGACACGGCCCAGACUCUUACGGGAGGGAGCCGUGGCGGAUAUUGGCCAACGGGCUAAAGCAUGAACCAGCACUGCCGCGUGAGUGAUGACGGCGUUAGGGUUGGAAAUCUCUUUUACACGGGAUGAUAAUGACGGUACCGGGAGAAUAAGCUCCGGCUAACUCCGUG
rnacentral:rRNA from 1 species